rnacentral:lncRNA from 1 species
AUGAGAAAUGAGUCGAGGGGUGUCCUUCCUCUGGGACUCUUUUCCUUUUCCUUUCGCGGGCCCAGGUGGUCCUUGGCACUCCAGCAGCCGGGCCUUACGGCCGGGACACUAUUCGUAGAAGUUCCUCCGGAGGUUUCGUCAUCCACGCGGCGCUCUGGAACCCCUCUGCUCCUCUGGUCGACAGCAAACAUUUCUGGCGACAGGCAGUGCCCGAAGUCCCGAGGAUUUCCGGACACUUUGCACGGCGGCGCGGUCGCCCGGGGGCCCGGAGAAGGUGAGUUGGCGCGAACCGACCGCUCGGGGUCUCGUCCCCAUAGGGCGGGGGGCGCGGGGCGCGGAGGGGGGGGCGGCCUGGGGAGGGGGCGCUGCGGGGGGGCGCGGAGGGAGGAGGGGGCGCGGGGGGGCACGGGGGGGCCACGGGGGACCGCGGGGGGCGCGCAGGGGGGCGCGCAGGGGGGCACGGGGGAGCUGCGGGCGGGCACGGGGGACCGCGGGGGGGCCUCGGGGGGAGGAGAGGGGGCGCGGGGGGACCGCAGGCGGGCACGGGGGUGCUGCGGGGGGGCACGGGGGGUGCGGGGUGGGGGGAGGCGGCCGGGCAUCGCGGCCCCGCCCGGCCAGGUGUCGCCCUCCCGGGGCCCUGCGGGGGAGCGGCGGCGGGAGGAGGCUGCGGUCGGGGCCGGGGCUGUUUGGACGCGGCGGAGGGUGGCGGCCGGGCCGGGGCGGCGGGAGCGGGGUGCGCGCGCGAGCCGAGGGGGCGCUUACGUCGCAGCUCGAGCGGAGCUGGGGUGGUUAGAGCCGAGUCCUCCGAGCCGCGCAGCCCGAGCCGCAGCCGCAGCCGCAGCCGCAGCCGCAGCCGCAGCCGGAGCAGCAGCAGCCGCAGCAGCAGCCGCCCGGAGGGGCGCGCCCCCCGCAGCAGCCCCGCCGCCCCCCGCCGCCCCCCGCAGCCCGGCGCACAAAGGCGGCGGCCGCCCGCCCGGCCUCCUCCCGCCCGGCCUCCUCCCGCCGCCUCCAGCCGCCUCCCGGGGGCGCGAAUGGCCUCGCGGGGCGACGACCUGGGGCGCGGGGGGCCCUAGGUCGGCGCGCCCCGGCCCCACCCCCACCCCCACCCCCACCCCGCCGGCCGGGAGGGGGCGAUGCGGGCCCGGGGCCCCGCCGCCCGCCGCCGCCGCGCUGCAGCCCGCGGAGCCGAGUGGGUGCCGCCGCCUCGGGCGCCGCUGGACGCCGGGGAGAGCCCCCGCCCCCGCCCCCGCCCCCGCCCCCGCCCCCGGGGCUGCCGGUAGGAGGCUUCGGGCAGCUAGGCACCUUCCCGUUUGGGUCCCCGCUGCCCUGCUCCACCUCCUCCACCCCACCCCACCCCACCCUCACAUUCUGGAAGCUCCGGGGUGGGGGCGAUCCCUGCCCUCCCUGCGCACCCCCACCCCCGGGACAGCCCCGUGGGAAUAA